UAGUCAUAUGCUUGUCUCAAAGAUUAAGCCAUGCAUGUCUAAGUAUAAGCAAUUAUACCGCGAAACUGCGAAUGGCUCAUUAAAUCAGUUAUCGUUUAUUUGAUAGUACCUUACUACUUGGAUAACCGUGGUAAUUCUAGAGCUAAUACAUGCUAAAAACCCCGACUCACGAAGGGGUGUAUUUACUAGAUUAAAAACCAAUGCCCUCCGGGGCUUUCUGGUGAUUCAUAAUAACUUCUCGAAUCGCAUGGCCUUGCGCCGGCGAUGGUUCAUUCAAAUUUCUGCCCUAUCAGCUUUCGAUGUUUGGGUCUUGGCCUGCCAUGGUUACAACGGGUAACGGAGGGUUAGGGCUCGACCCCGGAGAAGGAGCCUGAGAAACGGCUACUACAUCCGAGGAAGGCAGCAGGCUCGCAAAUUACCCAAUCCCGAUUCGGGGAGGUAGUGACAAUAAAUACUGAUACAGGGCUCUUUUGGGUCUUGUAAUUGGAAUGAGUGCAAUUUAAAUCCCUUAACGAGGAACAAUUGGGGGCAAGUCUGGUGCCAGCAGCC
rnacentral:rRNA from 1 species